GAUGAACGCUGGCGGCGUGCCUAACACAUGCAAGUCGAACGGCAGGACGGUAAGAUUGUUCUCUUACUGUUAGCGGCGGGCGGGCGAGUAACGAGUGCAUCACAAUCUUCUUUUUCGGGGGUCAUAACGGGAAGCAGCAGACACUAAUACCUCAUAUGAUGUACCGCUUGGAUCAAUGGAGCUUGGCACCUUUGGCGUUUCAAUUAGCUGAUGUCGCAUUAGAUAGUUGGGUGGGUAACGGCCCACCAAGGCAACGAUACGUAGCGUGUCUGAGAGGGUGAUCAGCCACACUGGAACUGAGACACGGUCCAGACUCCUACGGGAGGCAGCAGUAGGGAAUCUUGGACAAUGGGCGAAAGCCUGACGCAGCAAUGCCGCGUGGGUGAAGAAGGCCUUCGGAUCGUAAAGCCCUUUUAUUGGGGAAGAACAGAUGUAGAAUAAUACCCCGACGUCUUGACGGUACCUAAUCAAAAAGCAACGGCUAACUACGUG
rnacentral:rRNA from 1 species